rnacentral:lncRNA from 1 species
GUGGGCAACUUCUUCGGGAAAACACUCAUGCAAUUUCAUAAGGACAAGCGAAAAUAUGAAGAAGCUGGAUCUUGGAACUAGGCUUUGAUCACAGAGCGGAGCUGAGAUGAAAGUCCAUCCACUCAUUCAACAAAUAAUUGAGUACUUACAAAAAUUUCUGCUGUAUGGAGCUUAUAUAGUAGUGAAUAUCAAUUCUUAUUUUAUGGAUUAUAAAACAGAACUUUUUGCAACAAUUUUACACUACCCUAGGGGUACCUAUGAGUCUUCAUGCCUCAAGUAAUUGUCCUGUCCAUGUGACUAUGGAAGCCCUGAAAUCUUUGAAACCCCA